UCAGUUGGCUGCCCCUUGCACACCCCUAUUGGGGUGCAGGCAUGUGACCUAACUGGGAAUCAAACCGGCAACCUUUUGGUGCAUAGGACGACUCUGAACCAAUGGAACCACACCGGCCAGAGCUCAUCAAGGUCUUUUAAUAGUAGCACAUUUGUGUGCUUGAUCUGCAGAGCACUUUCGUCUGCAUUCUCAUUACUUCCUACAGUAGUCCUGCAAAAUAAAUAAGUCUUCCAGAUUUCUGGCCAGGGUGCGCUUCAGGUUCACAAUCUGGUUUUCCUUUACCCAUGAUGUUUAUUCUCUCUUCUCCUUUUUAACUACCCCUGGCCCAGCUUCUCAGAGGAGCUGACUUUGUUAACACAGGCCUCUCCAGCUAGCGAGAAUCUAGGUAGUAGAAGGGAUGGUAAGUGCAGACUUGAGUAAUGAAAGGACAGCUGGUGAGGGGGUGGGCGGGGCGGUCUUUACACAGUAUUUUGAAAUUAGCUUCACUCAUCUUCUUUUUAGCCCGUCUCCUUUUUACCCCCCACUGUCCUCUGCCCCCAAGAGCCCGAUCGAUGUCUUCUGACUGGUGUGCAGAGUCCCUGCUGCUGCCCCACAGGAAGAUCAGCCCAAACCCCUGGCUACUGUGUGCUUCUUUCACCUCCCAUAGCUGUGCUCCUCCCAGCCCUCCAUCAGGUCACCCAUCCACCUUCCGAGGUUAUAAUAGACACUUCUCCUGGCUGCCUGAGGUGGGAAGAUGGGCAAACAUGUUUAAGAGCAGAGCUUCUGAUUACCUAGAAGCAUGUUCCCAGGAGCAUGUGGGAUGCUGUUCGUAAUAAAGGGGGAGGGGGCACAAAUCAUCGCUACUUAGAAUUUGCAGGUUUAACACUGUCCCAGUUUUUUGAGAGCUUUAAGUGAGCCCAAACGUUCCCGACAGGUAGCAAUUUGCAAUUUUUCUGAGACACAGAAUUGAAUUACAGCCCUGUUGUAACUUUUAACUAAUUAAAAUUUUCUUUGUGAAAAAUGGCUCUUUUGGAAAGAAAAUCAGCUGCUAGGAUUAACGAUGGUAGGAAACAAAAAGCAAAGAUGUCCAAAGAAGAGAUAGGUCUCAGCCAAAAAAAAAAGAA